AAUGAACGCUGGCGGCAGGCCUAAUACAUGCAAGUCGAGGGAGAAUGUUGGAUUCGUCUGACAUGAAACCGGCGCACGGGUGCGUAACACGUAUGCAACCUACCUUUAACUGGGGUAUAGCUCAGAGAAAUCUGAAUUAAUCCCCCAUAAGACUACGACAUGGCAUCAUGAUGUAGUUAAAGCUCCGGCGGUUAAGGAUGGGCAUGCGGUACAUUAGCUAGUUGGUGAGGUAAUGGCUCACCAAGGCUACGAUGUAUAGGGGGUCUGAGAAGAGGAUCCCCCAAACUGGUAAUGAGACACGGACCAGACUCCUACGGGAGGCAGCAGUAGGGAAUAUUGGUCAAUGGACGCAAGUCUGAACCAGCCAUGCCGCGUGAAGGAUGAAGGCCCUAUGGGUCGUAAACUUCUUUUAUUAGGGAAGAAAAAACGGGAUGCGUCCUGUACUGACGGUACUUAAUGAAUAAGGAUCGGCUAACUUCGUGCCAGCCGCCGCGGUAA
rnacentral:rRNA from 1 species